CUCAUUUGUAGAGAGUGCUUCUUAGACAAAUGAGCUUUCCUGAUCUCAAAGCUACAAUAAGAGGACCUAAAAGUCAAAGAAAAUAAAGGGGAGUGGAGCCACGGGUUGUUGCCUGGAGCCUGGCCACAACUUCCUUUUCCCAUCUGAAUAAGCCACUCAGCUUUUGUAAAUGUUGGCCACCAAUAAUUAGGAUAAGGUAAGAUGUAUGAGUGCUUGGAUCAUGCGCUACUUGUUUUGGUCUGUUUUGUAUCUCAUUCUUUAAGAAAUACCCCUCCUUCCUCCAUGAGACUGACAGGGGCUGGCAACCACGUGGCCUGACCUUCCACCACCAGUAACACAUGACCCAGGCCGCUCGGCAACUCACUCCCUCCACCCCACCCAGGACAGGGUGCUCUGGGGACUGGCAUGUGGCCAAAGGCAGGCUCGCUGGAGACGUUAUGGGGAUGGUGAGGGAGGUGAGGGAAGGGGCAGCCCUUCCCUGGGGACUGCUCUCUGGAUGGAAGCUAUAAAGUUAAGGCUUCAACUGUCAUCUGCAUUGGGUUUCUAUUACUUGUAACCAAGAGCCUUGCUUAUUACAGUAACAGAAAACUAAAAUGUUAUCAUGGCUUUCAUUUCUUCCUUCUAUUUUUUUCCUACAUUAAUUUGCUUGUUUUUGCAAAAGUGGAAACCCAGAUCUUAAAGUAUAACUCAAUUGAACUCAACUGAAUCCUCCUUGAACUCUGCUUUGGUAUCCUAAACUAAUAAAGAAAAGAGGUUUACAUUUCAGAAACAAGUCCUCCAAGCCUAAUCAAAAAGUUCCAGAAAACUGUUUUCUCUAGGAAGGCAGUAUAGAUGAUGCGAGCAAUGUGAGCGCUAAGUGUGAUCUCCGUUCCAACACUGUCUCAACUGCUCAGUAGCCGUGUGAACUCAUCUGUCUUUUGGAAAAUAUCUCCUCCCAUGGAGAAGAACACAGUACCCACCUCAUAGGUGGAGAUAUUCAAUGAGGUGGCACAAGUCACGUGUACGCAUCUCCCCAUAUCCUUUCCCAAACUCAACACGAUGGCACUUUUUGCUUUUUAAAUUAAAAAAAAAAAAAGCUAAUUUUAAUGUUAACAUUUACCAAGUGCCAGACACUAUUUUAACUGCUUUCCAUCUAUCAACUCAUUUAAUCCCCAAACAAGCUGGUGAGGCAGGUGCCAUUAGUACCCACCUCUUUCUCAGCGAGGAACAGGAGGCCGAGUGACCUGCCCAGCGUGUCCCAC
rnacentral:lncRNA from 10 species